rnacentral:ncRNA from 1 species
UCGUAAGGCUCAACUUGUGGGGCCCCCUCUUGGGAAACCUGGAGGUGUGCACUCGCCAAAUUCGGAGAAAUCCUAUCUGUCAUCACAGACAGAAAGACAAUUCCGAGCUAAAUUUUCCGGCAUGAGUCGGAUAUAAAUGUGUAGAGACUAGAUGGCGAGCUCCUUAAUUUUCAAAUUAUCUUUUGAAAAAGGAGAUGGUAUAGUCCAGACCACAAAUUCUUUUUUGA